GUUUGAUCCUGGCUCAGAACGAACGCUGGCGGCAGGCUUAACACAUGCAAGUCGAGCGCCCCGCAAGGGGAGCGGCAGACGGGUGAGUAACGCGUGGGAAUCUACCCUUGACUACGGAAUAACGCAGGGAAACUUGUGCUAAUACCGUAUGUGUCCUUCGGGAGAAAGAUUUAUCGGUCAAGGAUGAGCCCGCGUUGGAUUAGCUAGUUGGUGGGGUAAAGGCCUACCAAGGCGACGAUCCAUAGCUGGUCUGAGAGGAUGAUCAGCCACAUUGGGACUGAGACACGGCCCAAACUCCUACGGGAGGCAGCAGUGGGGAAUAUUGGACAAUGGGCGCAAGCCUGAUCCAGCCAUGCCGCGUGAGUGAUGAAGGCCCUAGGGUUGUAAA
rnacentral:rRNA from 1 species